rnacentral:rRNA from 1 species
AUGAAGCCGGAAUCGCUAGUAAUCGCGGAUCAGAAUGCCGCGGUGAAUACGUUCCCGGGUCUUGUACACACCGCCCGUCACACCAUGGGAGUCGAUAACGCCCGAAGUCAGUGACCCAACCUUGUAGGAGGGAGCUGCCGAAGGCGGGAUGGAUAACUGGGGUGAAGUCGUAACAAGGUAUC